AUUUUGUUCAAAAUCCUCAUGUUAAACAAACUGGUUCUUCAGCAAUAGUUUCCAACAAUGGCUUCUUCGAUCUACACAUAGAUAACCUAUGCUUAAAUUCUUCACUUGAAAAAUCUUCAAUAUCAUCCAAAUUCAACUUAGGCAAAGUACAAUAAUUCUCUUCAGGCAAGAUUCUUAAACUCCCUAUUGACACCCUUUUGGAA
rnacentral:misc_RNA from 1 species